rnacentral:ncRNA from 2 species
GCAAGCGCCUCCUGAAGAAUCGGGCACCAUGUGGGGAAACCCCUUGUGUGAAUGUGGUCAAACUCAAGGAAGCCUAAGUUUAUGUGAACCAUGAAUAAGGUAAUCUUGAGCCAAGCUCUAACCCCUACGGUUGGAGAAGGUGCAGAGACUGGUUUUGGGAGUUGGAUUAAACGACUUCUUGAACAUAACGGCCACCACCUAAGAGCAUUCUAUGAGUGCUUAUGGUGAAGGGAUAGUCCAGAGAGUGGGGAAACUCACAC